UCGCACACCGCAUCGAUCGCUCAACGGCUCAUCAACCUUCAGUUAUACAAUGCUUGUUUUGUUUCUUGGCGAGAAAGUGAAAAACAUGGGAGACUCUCUACGAAUCCAAAGAUUCCAACAACUUCCAUCGGCUACAGAAUUUGCCUCUCAGAUUGAAUCCCGAAAUGUUCCCGCUGUGUUCGUUGGGUGCGUUAAGGGUUGGGAAGCUGUCGCCAAGUGGAAUCCGUCUAGUGGCGGCCUCGAGUAUUUGGAGGAUCGAGUAGGAUCAUUCAUGGUGGAGGCUAUGGUUUCUAGAACUGCACCGGUGUUUUAUGGUGAUCUUAGAAGCCAUGAGAGGGUUCCAUUACCGUUUUCCACUUUUAUUGGCUUUUGUAAGCAGCAUAGGCAAAAAGUUGGAAAUUCUUGCAUCUCUAAUUCUAAUUCAGGAGGGCAUCAACCAGGAGAAUCAGACACAGAGCAAGGCUAUUCACCAUUUGUAGAUGCUGCUCCACAACAAGUGUACUUAGCACAGGUUCCAAUCAUAAAUGCUGAGAAUGAAGAGAGGGUUCAUCUGGAAACUUUAAGGGAAGACAUUCAAAUGCCUGCAAUUUUGGAGGAAAAAAAUCUAUCUUCUAUUAAUUUGUGGAUGAACAAUGCCCAAGCUAGAUCAAGUGCUCACUAUGAUCCUCACAAUAAUCUUCUAUGUAUAGUCACUGGAAGGAAACAAGUUGUUUUAUGGCCCCCUUCUGCAAGCCCCAUGUUAUAUCCCAUGCCUAUAUACGGGGAGGCCUCAAACCAUAGUUCUGUGGCUUUGGAGAACCCUGAUUUUUCAGUUCAUCCAAGAGCAAAAUAUUGCAUGCAAUACUCUAAGAAGGUUAUUCUUCAUGCCGGUGAUGCACUUUUCAUUCCUGAAGGCUGGUUCCACCAAGUAGAUAGUGAUGACUUGACAAUUGCUGUUAAUUAUUGGUGGCGUUCCAGCAUAAUAUCUAGCUUGGCAGACCACAUGGAUGCAUAUUAUUUGCGCAGAAUACUUAGGAGAUUGACAGACAGAGAAAUGGACCAAGUACUUCUGAAGGGUUCUACGGCUAUGUGGAGACAGGAGAGGAAUAUAUCUGAGCUGCCAUGUAAGAAAGAUCAUGAAGGCCAUAGCUUGGACCAGGCUAAUCAAAGAAAGAAUUUGAAAGGGAAAGAACAACAACAUAGCCUUCUUUUGCUUGACUUGGAACCCUAUGCUCUCCAGGCUCUUCAUGAACUAGUUGCUUUAGUUCACGACCGUGUUAAUGCUUCUGAUCAAAAUCAACCAGUCUUGUCUACUUCAAGAGAUGGUUUGACGUGUUAUGUGACAGACGGGCAACAUAAGACUUUAACGACUGAAAUAUUUCAUAUAGAAGAUGAUCCAGUAGCUAAAAAUCUCUGGAUCCUUGAACCAGGCAUCUUGCAGGAUAUGUUUCUUGCCAUGGCUCACAACUUCCCCAAAACUUUGGAAGCUCUGAUACUGCACUUGCUUUCACCAGUCGGGGCAGAAGUCCUUACACGAAAAUUUGAUGAGAUAGAUCAGCAGAACACUGAAGAAGAUCGGAACAAAUUCUACCAGGUCUUCUAUGGUGUAUUUGAUAACCAAUUUGCAGCAAUGGAUGCAAUUCUAAAUGGGAAAGAGUCAUUUGCACGCCAGGCAUUCAAAAAUGUGUUGAAUAAAUACUUGGGAGGGAAUUUUGAUGUACCAAAAGUGUGUGUUGGACGAGACAUCUCGUGACACAAUCUUCUUCAAAAAAUUGGUCCCAUGGUGAUAUCGAGAUAGUAAAUUGAUGCAUAUUUCAUCUCAGAAGCUUUCUGUCACAGUCAGUACUUUUACAUUGUGUUCCAUUAAGGCUGCAUAGCUAGCAUAAACAACAUUUUUAGGGAAAUAAUCUCUUGUACAUGAACCAGAUGAAAAUGGCAAGCAUGAUGGGGGAUCUGGUAAUUAGCUUGAGAUUGAUUAUGUGCUUGUUUGAACCCUGAAGUGCAUUGAGGAGAAUAAAGAAAAGGGACAGCAGUCUUCCUAGAGGGUAACCACCCACACACAAUGAUACUAACCUGCAUUAUUUUGUGUUUGAAAUGGGCAUUGAGAUUGCCAUAAUGCUGUGGGUUUUGCUUAUGAGUUGAUUAGAAAUGACUAUUAGUGGUGAGGAAAUGGGGACCCCCUCUACUCAUAGCAGAUGCUAUCACGGCCGUUGAUAUCUUUUUUGUAGUCUCCUUCCUGUAACUAUGUUUUGCUAAGCUUCUAUUGCUAAAUCCUAAAGCUUUAAGGAUGGAAAUAGCAAGUAUUAAGGACAAUGGGCCUUUUACAGUUAUUGGCUUAAGCAACACGGCAGAAAGAUGCUUUUUUAUACUUAGGAUGAAGAGGCCAUGCAAAUAUCUAUGUCAUUUGUUCAUUUGUAGUGCGAAUGUUAAUACUGAGGGGCUGUGGAAAAGUGGGUGCUCCCAUAUGGGGAUUUGCAGCAGAAGGUAAAAGAAAAGAAAAGAAAAGCAUAGAAAAGAAGGGUUUGGUAAUUAUUAGGAUUGGUAGGAAGGAAAGAGGCAAAAGUAAGGUUUGUUGAGAUGAGAUUCCCUGAUGGAAGAUGACACAUGCAAAGUAUGUUGAGAGAGGAAAGGUGGAAGAGGGAAUAGAAGAGAAGCUUUUGGUUUGUCUGGUUGUGCAGCAGAGGGAGAUAAAAAGAGGCAGUCUUUUUUAGUAGGCAAAUGGCAUGUAUAUCACGUAUUGUACCUUAACCCUGCAACUCUUGCAUACUUUCUAAAAGCUUGGAUAUACCCACAAGCACUGAACUCCUACUUUCAUUAAUCCCAAGGCUCUCUCUCUCUCUCUCUCUCUCUCUUUUUCUCUCUCUCGUUGAAUAUACUAACAAGGAUUUGCCAGUAUCCUUUUCAUCUGGUUAAAGAGUAAGGUGGUAAUGAAUUCGAUUGAUCUCCUAACAAUUGACACAUAAACCAUUUGUUACUGAGCAGUGUUGAGCUACUC